UUAUCACUAAUCUUACUUUUUGCACCAACUUUUCCUAGAUAAAAUCCAACAUCAAACACCCAAUGGUACUGUCAUCAACAGUAUAGAAAUCCCCAAACCACCACAAUACCCCAACCUGCCUAUUCAGAAGAGUGGGGAAUCUGAUCCUGGGAGAAAGUCCCCAAGCAGACUUGCUUCAGAUGGCAAAUCGGAGUCCUGCCCCGAGGUGGACGUGGGGAAAUUGGUGUCUAGGCUGCAGGAUGGAGGAGGGAGCAAGGCCACCAAUGGACCUGUGUCAGGCUCUGGGCCCACCAAGGCCUCCUCUUCCCACAUAAAGAGACCAGCUCCUCGGCCCCUAGUUCAUCACAAGGAGGGAGACUCUGACAGUUUCAGCAAAGUGUGGCCUCCAGGAGAAAAGCCAACCAUCAUCCGCCCCCCAGUGAGACCUCCAGAUCCUUUCUGCCGGGCAGCUACUCCCCAGAAAACAAAGCCAGAUAUUGUAGUUGGCAAUGCAGGGGAAAUACCAUCAUCUGUGGUGGCUUCCAGGACCAGGUUCUUUGAAACAGCUUCUCGGAAAAUAGGAAGUUCUCAAGGCAGACUUCCUGGAGAUGAGAGUUGAAGACUCAGGUUUGAAAACCUUGGCCUCUGAAGACCCUUUCCAGGUUUUGGAAGGAUCUUCAAACCCUGUGUGCUGAGUCAUUUUGUGCUGAAGAACAGCUCCUCCCUGGCCCUGCACCUUUAGGCUCUAGGAUGCUAUAAAUAGGGGGCACAUGUCCUAGAACAGGUUUAUUUCUCCUUUUUAUUCUGUCUUUAUCCCGUCAGAAGUUCUAUUUUGAGCUCUUGUACGACUGUGAAUGGCUAAACUCCUUCAAGCCAGACUCUGCAGAAACCAAGCUAUCCACUGACCUGAGUUGAAGAGGGGAGCUCAGUUUUCAACUCUUCCUGAACUUCCUGCCUCCUCAAAAGGACAUAGAACUCUGAAUGAUUUGGGACUAAGCACUGAUUUCAAAAAUCUUACCCUGAACUGAAAACUACUUGGGUUGGGGCCUUACCUAGGAAGCAGGGAAGUAGGAAUGUUUGCUAAACAUCAGAGAAUCAUAACAUGUCUCUUACCGAUGAUAUGGACCCUGGUGCCAGGUUGGAGCUCUCAUGCUGCAAUAUAUUGCCAAGAACCUGUCUGAUUCUAUGGGGCCAGACAGCUUGGGUGAUGUCCCCCCACAAACUGUCCAUGUGAACUCAGGAAGGUAGCCUUCCUGCUCUUACAUACAACCACCUAAGAAAUCUGCAAAGCACAUUUUGCAGGUCAAAGCCUAAGUCUGUUUGAAUUAUUCUUCUGCCUAUUUUGCCCUGGCAGCUUCCUUUCCAAGUAAGCAGGAAAGAAAUAAAGAAAAGCUGAAAACAUUUCUUUAAAGAAGGGAGCUGGUAUUUGCCUGCAGGAGUUCAAUUUUUGGGUCAAAUGCUGGGAAAAAAUGUUAAGAUGGAUUGAGGCCAGGCAGCUGUCACAUUGCAUCAUAUUUGUCUUCUGCAGUUAAUUGCUUUUAUCUCCUGAAAGAAGCAGUUUUUAACCCAGUGCUCAUGGAUUCAGGAACUUCACGAAGCCUCUGAAAUGGUGUUCAGAAUUCUUCAAUAAUUUCUUUUUCUGAAGAGAUGUUCAUAACAUUCCACUGAAUUUCAAAUGGGCCUGUGACCCAAUAAAGGUUAAGAACCA